GCCAGACUCCUACGGGAGGCAGCAGUGGGGAAUAUUGGACAAUGGGGGAAACCCUGAUCCAGCGACGCCGCGUGAGUGAAGAAGUAUUUCGGUAUGUAAAGCUCUAUCAGCAGGGAAGAAGAAAUGACGGUACCUGAGUAAGAAGCCCCGGCUAACUACGUGCCAGCAGCCGCGGUAAUACGUAGGGGGCAAGCGUUAUCCGGAUUCACUGGGCGUAAAGGGAGCGCAGGCGGCACGGCAAGUCUGGUGUGAAAACCCGGGGCUCAACCCCGGGACUGCAUUGGAAACUGCCGGGCUGGAGUGUCGGAGGGGUAAGCGGAAUUCCUAGUGUAGCGGUGAAAUGCGUAGAUAUUAGGAGGAACACCAGUGGCGAAGGCGGCUUACUGGACGAUGACUGACGCUGAGGCUCGAAAGCGUGGGGAGCAAACAGGAUUAGAUACCCGCGUAGU
rnacentral:rRNA from 1 species